GAUGAACGCUGGCGGCGUGCCUAAUACAUGCAAGUCGAGCGAACAGACGAGGAGCUUGCUCCUCUGACGUUAGCGGCGGACGGGUGAGUAACACGUGGAUAACCUACCUAUAAGACUGGGAUAACUUCGGGAAACCGGAGCUAAUACCGGGUAAUAUAUUGAACCGCAUGGUUCAAUAGUGAAAGACGGUUUUGCUGUCACUUAUAGAUGGAUCCGCGCCGCAUUAGCUAGUUGGUAAGGUAACGGCUUACCAAGGCAACGAUGCGUAGCCGACCUGAGAGGGUGGUCGGCCACACUGGAACUGAGACACGGUCCAGACUCCUACGGGAGGCAGCAGUAGGGAAUCUUCCGCAAUGGGCGAAAGCCUGACGGAGCAACGCCGCGUGAGUGAUGAAGGUCUUCGGAUCGUAAAACUCUGUUAUUAGGGAAGAACAAAUGUGUAAGUAACUAUGCACGUCUUGACGGUACCUAAUCAGAAAGCCACGGCUAACUACGUG
rnacentral:rRNA from 1 species